AGGUUGCAGUGAUGGCCGGGCGUGAGCCACCAUGCCCACCCCACCCUGGGAUUUAAGAUGCAAAUUUCUAGGUCUGGGAUGGGGCUUUAAAUGAUACAUUUCUAACAAAUUCUCAGGUGAUGCCAACGUUCACAGACCACACUUAGAGUAUCAAAGGCCUUCCUGCUCUCAGUAGGUCCAAAGCUACCCAAACCUUGCUCUGAAUGCACUAUAGACAUGUCUAUACCCGAGUCAACACGCUGGAGCCCCUGCCCUCAGCCAGAAGGGCCAGAGAUAAGCACCAUGCCAGUUGCACCUGAGCAUCUUUCAGCUUUCAUCAGUUUAUGCCUAAUCCUGCUCAGUAGGUGCCACCCCCAUGUUGCCCAUGAGGACUGGCAGGCUCACAGCAAGUAGCCAGCCAGGCUGGGAUGCUGCAGCGCAAGUGAACUUCCCCGAGUGAGAAUGGCUUGAGUUUGGGGCAAGGCUGGAGCCAACUACUGAGGGAUGUGAAGCCUCCCACAGAGGUACCAUGAACACCUUCCCCAGCAAAGGGGGCACAAGUUCCCUGGGCAC
rnacentral:lncRNA from 10 species